rnacentral:rRNA from 1 species
GUGGAUUAGAUACCCUGGUAGUCCUAGCCGUAAACGAUGGACACUAGGUGUUGGUGGUAUCAACCCCGCCAGUGCCGAAGCUAACGCAUUAAGUGUCCCGCCUGGGGAGUACGGCCGCAAGGCUAAAACUCAAAGGAAUUGACGGGGGCCCGCACAAGCAGCGGAGCGUGGGGUUUAAUUCGACGCAACGCGAAGAACCUUACCAGGACUUGACAUGACCAGGACAACGGCGGAAACGUCGUCUCCCCGCAAGGGGCCUGGCCACAGGUGUUGCACGGCUGUCGCCAACU